rnacentral:rRNA from 1 species
AUUGAACGCUGGCGGCAGGCCUAACACAUGCAAGUCGAGCGAGCGGCGGGCGGGUGGGUAAGGAAUGGGGGGUGAUUGAUAGAGGGGGGGAACUACUGGAAACGGAAGCUAAUACAGAAUACUAUCGGAUGACACAUAUGGGAUGAGCUAGUAGGUGGGGUAAUGGCUCACCAAGGCGACGAUCCCUAGCUGGUCUGAGAGGAUGAUCAGCCACACUGGAACUGAGACACGGCCCAGACUCCUACGGAGGCAGCAGUGGGGAAUAUUGCACAAUGGGGGCAAGCCUGAUGCAGCCAUGCCGCGUGUAUGAAGAAGGCCCUAGGGUUGUAAAGUACUUUCAGUCGGGAGGCGUUACCGACAGAAGAAGCACCGGCUAACUCCGUGCCAGCCGCCGCGGUAAUUC